CGUGGGAGCGAGCCUGCUCGCGAUGGCGGUCGAACAUUCAACAUUAAUGCUGAAUUUGAUGGCCUCAUCGCGAGCAGGCUCGCUCCCUCA
rnacentral:misc_RNA from 1 species